GCCGAGAUAGCUCAGCUGGGAGAGCAGCAGACUGAAGCUUCGAGCAUAGAUUGCUUAUGCAGGCAAACUUCUGAAGGUCGGGCGUUCGAUCCGCCCUCUUGGCA